rnacentral:rRNA from 1 species
UACAGAGGUCCCAAGCGUUGUUCGGAUUCAUUGGGCGUAAAGGGCUCGUAGGCGGCCAACUAAGUCAGACGUGAAAUCCCUCGGCUUAACCGGGGAACUGCAUCUGAUACUGGAUGGCUUGAGUUCGGGAGAGGGAUGCGGAAUUCCAGGUGUAGCGGUGAAAUGCGUAGAUAUCUGGAGGAACACCGGUGGCGAAGGCGGCAUCCUGGACCGACACUGACGCUGAGGAGCGAAAGCCAGGGGAGCAAACGGG